rnacentral:rRNA from 1 species
UGGGGAAUAUUGCACAAUGGGCGCAAGCCUGAUGCAGCCAUGCCGCGUGUAUGAAGAAGGCCUUCGGGCUGUAAAGUACUUUCAGCGAGGAGGAAGGCGAUGCGGUUAAUAACCGUGUCGAUUGACGUUACUCGCAGAAGAAGCACCGGCUAACUCCGUGCCAGCAGCCGCGGUAAUACGGAGGGUGCAAGCGUUAAUAGGAAUUACUGGGCGUAAAGCGCACGCAGGCGGUCUGUCAAGUCGGAUGUGAAAUCCCCGGGCUCAACCUGGGAACUGCAUUCGAAACUGGCAGGCUUGAGUCUUGUAGAGGGGGGUAGAAUUCCAGGUGUAGCGGUGAAAUGCGUAGAGAUCUGGAGGAAUACCGGUGGCGAAGGCGGCCCCCUGGACAAAGACUGACGCUCAGGUGCGAAAGCGUGGGGAGCAAACA